AAGACAAACUACAUGUUUGUUACCAGACUUUAGGGCCAGACUCGCGCUGUUUUUUCCAGACUAGGACUCGGGCUGAGGAGAGCUGAUGGAGGAGCCAAGACUAUGGAGGACGACAUCACUCUACCAACCAGGAUCCUCACCAGGAAUCUGGAGGAACGAUGGAGAAGCCGUACAUCUGGAAGGCAACUCCUUAGGACAACCAGGACUCUACUAUCAAGGAUUCCUUACACACCUGAGCUGAACCUCACCUGAUCCUGUUUUG